GCAUGCGAGUCAUGAAAAAGGAUGUUUGAUGUAUUUCCUGGUGCCUUUCCGUUCUAAUUUGUAUGUUGAUUAUUUAUGAACAUUUUCUUGUCUUUUGUUUUGUUUUCAUCUUUUCAGAAGCACUAUUUAGGAAUUCAUAGUAUCUGAUGGCAAAUAUACUAUAUAUACAUAUAUAACUUUCAAAUGCUUUGGUUUACAUGAAAGGUGAAUUUAUUAAAGGGCCUGUCUCAAGCUACACCUAAGUAAUGGUGCUUUGGUAAGCGUGGGAUUUUUGUUUGUUGUUUCUUUGUUUUUUAUUAAACAAAAUGAUGUUACUUUAAAUGUCACUAUUUCUUUAUUAUAGUUAUUAAAACUGUGUGUUCUUUUUUACAGCACUUUCUUAGUGGAACUGGGACUGUUUUGUCACAUCUUUAGCAAUGUGAGCACGUAAAGCAAAAGCAUCUUACAGAAUUUUUAACACAACUUAUUAAAUACUUCAUUUCUUAAAUCACUCUGUCUAUAGACAGGUAAAAAAUUUCUGGUUAGCAGUUUAAACUGUGUAUCUGACUAUAUUUACUAUUUUUUUUCCUCGUCUUCCCCUAAGCUGUUUCUCUUGCAGGGGAAUCUUUCAUUGAGAUGAUUGAAAUCGCUGCAAUGAGAAUGGAAAUUACUUGGGCUCCUUUCCUUUUAAAAGCUGCAUGCAAGAACUGUGUGGUGAGUCAAAUGUAGACUAAUGGUUAUGUAAAUGUCACUAAUUUUAGAUACAGUCAAGAUCUGAAUGUGUGUUUCCUUUUAAGAUUUUAUUUCUUCAUUAUCAUGACUCAGUAUCACUUGCUAAUCUCAUUUUAUUAGCCCUGUUAUAUUUUACCAUUAAAAUACACAUGCCUUCUUCAACUACAUGCUCACAUUCAAGUUUUUACAUUAUAGAGAUGUUUUAAGAGGAGGAAUAAAAGCUUAUCUGCACCCGGGAUUUGUUUUGACUUCAAGCUUCACAUGCCUGCUACUGGGGGAGUUGCAUAGGUACAAGCAUAAUGUAGGUGAAUAUGAAUCUGAGUUCUUAUCAUUAAUAAAUCUGUUUUAUUUGACCAUAGAGAAUUUCAGCCUGGUGUAUGUGCCGGUAGAAAUCACACUUUUCUCGAUUGCUCCUCUUACGGAUUUGAACUGAUGAAAUUAACAAUGGCUAAGAUUUCCAGUUCAGUUCAGACCUGAACAGUUUGCAACAGCAAAGCCAUGCAGUAUUAACCUACACCUUUUCAUAAACACUUCUGUUUGUACAUUUACCUAUUACAGGUCUCAAGGUAUAUGGACAAAGUGAGGUUGACUACUCAGGAAAAAAAUUUUUCUUGUGCCUGAUGACACAAGAAAGACAACUAUUUUCAGUUCAGGUGCUUCUUUUCUGCUAGACUUAGGAACUGUAUGGGAAAAAGAUGCUUGAUUCAUAUCAAAAGAGGAAAGAAAAGAUAGGUCUGCUUGAAAAAGAACUUGGAUUAGUAUAAGAGUGAAGACAUCUUCUAAGAGCAGCGUGUCUAAAAAUCUAAUGUUGAAAGGUUGGAGAUGAGAACUCAUAGGGAAAGGACAGAUCUUAUGAACUAGAAAAGUAGAAGGAUUAGGACAGGUUGGGCAAAGAUUGGGGGUUUUGUUUGUUUCUUGAAAUUGGAAGAAGCAACAGUAUAAAAGAGAUCUGACCUGAGGCAAAGACAAGAAGUUGGGCUUGAAGAAAGGGGAUUGCACACUCCAGAUCGUUCCUAACGUUCACUUGCGAGCUCUACACUUCAGAUCCAGAAGGGAAUGCAGACUGUUAGGUAGUAGCUUCUGCUGUCACUUGUGAAACCUGUCCAUUUCAUCCCUCUCAUUGUAUUCCGUGGAGCAGAGGACAACCUUACUGGUACUUUCAGCAUAUGAAUUUUGGUCCUGAAAAGGACUCUCAAAAUAAUAGAGCAGUUGAGAUUGGAAGUCAUUUGGAGAUCAUCUAGUCCAAGCAGGGUCAGACAGAGCAGCUUUUAAAGGACUGUGUCCAGUUAGAUUUUGAGUAUCUUAAAGAACAGAGACUCUGCAACCUGUCCUGUUCAGAUAGAAUUUCCUACAUUUCAUUUUGUGCCUGUUGCCUCCUGUCCUGUCACUGGACGUGACAAAGAAGAGCCUGACUAACACUUCUUCCUUACCUCCAUCUGUGGGCAUUUAUAAACUUUGCGAUCACGCACAUGCAAGCCUUUUCUUCUGCAGGCUGGUGUCUCAUCUCUCUUGGCCUUUCUUCAUGUGAAAGAUGCUUCAGUUGUCUUGUUGCCUUUGUGGAAAUAAACAUUUUUUUCCAAUUAAUAGAGGAAUUGGAACUCAAAGGAGAGGGUAAAAGCAAAACACAACCUAGUAACUGUAAAAAGAACAUGAAAAUCACAAAAUGAAACACUAAGUCAGGUUACUCCUGCUUUUAGAUUCUGUAAUCUUCAUUUGCCCCCUUGUGUUAGUGUUCAAUGAAGCAAUCUUCAUGAGCAUAUGGAAUAUUUAGUCCAAUGAUAGGAUUGCCCUGCUAUGCUGAGCCAGGGAAGAUGGUUGUGGACUCUGCAAGUACUUGUACUCCUCACUUCAGAGCUGUCCACCUUAAGACCUUUGUGUCUGACAGAAAUACUGGCUAUUGCAGCUGAGCUUCUUAGAAGCUAUCAUUUCAACUAAAAUACUAUGAGAUGUUACAUCUGUUGACAGUCUCCUGUCUUCUUUAACAGGGUACCUUGAACUGUUGCAGAUUACUGCAGUUUCUACCCAUCCAUGUCACAUUUCAAACAGAGAAGCAGCUCCUGACUCAUUAUGUGCCGCCAAUGAAUGCAAAGCCUUCAAAGAUCCAGUUCACAGGACAGUUGUACGAAAUACCAAAACCAUUACCAAAUGCCAUCAGACUGGAGUAUUGUCUCAGGACAAACUGCUCUGGAAGGAAAGCUGCCUUCAGUAACAGCAAAUGUUGACACCUAGAGAAAGAAGAUGAAGUUUCCUCUCUAUUGCAGAAAGAUCUGUCUUCUGAAAAUGAGGAUCCCCAUACUGUUACAACAGUAACAAUUGCCACAGACAUUGAGGGAGGAAUUUAGAACACGGUGCAGUAGAGAAUAUUUAUGGCAGUAGCAACAUUUCCAAAGAAACACAUCUUUAUAAAGACAACUUCUUCGAGGAUUUUCUGAAGUACAAGCAGCUAUUCGAUGCUUUGCUGUCUGUUUCUAUAGACAAGGUUGUGCACACUACUCUUAGGUCCCCAAAUGAGGCAGUUCCCAAGCCCGGGCCUCACAGAGCACAGGCUUUCCAACCACACAGACCUACGUGCCUUUCAGCAAAGUAGCACAAGGCUCUAAGAGGGGAAAAAAAAAACCAACUUCUUUGACUGUAGCAGUUCACCUGCUGCUUUCAUCAGCAUGACAGGGUGUCUGACUGUUUGAUCUGGAACACUUGGGACAUUUUUAAAGUUCUGCCUUUUCCUUUCAACCACAGAAGUGGUUUUAUAACAGGUUAUUGCCUACCAGCCAUCAGAGAUAGACUUGUGUAUUCUAUUUUAGUUGCUGGUUGCCUGCAUUUUAUCCCAGGGCAUUUUAAUGAGAAUGUGUUAGAUCAUUAGUGACAUCACUUCUUUCCCUACAGAAAAGAGAGGGAAAAAGGUGGUAACAACUCAGUCCUAAUACAGCAUUUGUGUUUGCUGUCUCAGGUGUCAAGAGGUGUGAAUACAAACAUCUGAAAUAAUCAGACACAAAGUAAAGCUUUCAGCUAGUAGUUUUGUAUUACCAAGUUAAAUGUUGUGAUCCAAGGUUUGGAAACAGUUAUUUCCACAUUGUUAUCCACCCAGCCCAAAGGAGCUGCAUGGCCUCUGCAGCGGGAGGGAUUGCCUCCAGUAGAAGUCUGCAUGCUUGUCACCACUUCUUCCAGAAGAACAGAAAUCCACACAUUCACAUCCUGAACACUCCAAAUGUCAACUCCUAAGAACUAUCGUUAGAUCUUCCACUUAUGGCUGUUACGUUGGUGCUUAGGGUAAACAAGAAGUCAGCGCAGAACCCUCCACACAACACAGAUGAUCAAAACCAUAGCAGACUGAUGUUCCAUUAGCCUUGCAUGACUUCACAUGAUGUUCAGCUUUUCUAUUCAAGCUCAGCCUACCUCAAGUUCAGUGAGAGCAGGGGUCAAGCUGUCAAGACCUAAGCACAAGAGAAUGCUGCAGCACAGCUUCCAAGGGCAAGCUAUAGGCAACAGAGCAGUCACACAACUGUCCCUGUUGGUGUUUUCUAGCCAAAUUCUGCAGAGAAUUUCUGAAGUGAAAGAUGGAUUUAACAAAAAUAUGAUCUUUUGUCCAUCCUUUUCCACAUGUAUCCAUGGAAAUGUCACCAGUGAACUCUGGAUUGCGCUCUUGCAUUUCCAUGUUGAAUGAACACUCUUAGUAACAGCAGAAAACAUGAUUAUCCUGACCGAAGAUGGAUGAGGAUCUCACAUCACCAACAAUUUUUCAAUUACAUAGUUAAUAUGGCCAUAUUAAUCAUUAAUCCUUUAAUAUAUUCCAAGGAUCCACAGUUUAUGGAGCCAUCUUGAGAAGAUAAUGGUUUGAACAAUCAUGGGUAGCAAGGGAGAAUUGUAUGGCUUAAAGAUCGAUUUGCAAAUGGGAGAAACAACAUAAACCAGUCAGUCUGCUCCAGAAGUCACAUUUCCCGUCUGUGGAAAACCACAAACUUAGCAAUAGGGUUUCUGCUCACUGUACUGCAACUGAAUUGAAACAAAGGCCACCAACAGGAUGUGUUCAGGAGGCUUCUAACACAGUGCUGGUAUCCUCAUCUUCAGAGUUUGUCUGUUUGGCUACUGAAAGUUUAGCUUCUGUUUCCAAAUAAGAGGUACUGGCAUGAUUAACCUGCCUUAUGGCUGAUUCCUGCAGUGUUUCACCUCACAGGGCAGAUGCAGAAAAGACCUCCACAAGAGCUUUUGUUCUUCAGGUAUGCAAACUAUUGAUGUACAGUGUUCUGCAGAUCCACUUACCUGGCACAUUGGAAAAAAUGAAACAUCUCUGUAGUUUCAUAAGCAUUUAAACCUCCCAUCUAGGUCAUUCUGUGUUUUUUCCAGAUCCCUUUAGCAACUAUCACCCACCUAUUAAUUCACCCCUAUAAAAUCUGCUUUUCUCUGGUGUUGAGAUUUCUGACAUCUCUGUUAACUGCCCUCCCUUCAGUGCAGGAAGUUGUAUCUCUCUGGCCCCACAAAGGCAGUGACUCUGUUUGGAUUCUAUUCCCUAACUCCCUUUCUGUAAUGGGAAGGAAGUGAGUUUGCCACCUUCUGUGGAUCUCUGCCUCUGUUUGGAUUCAAUUCCCUAACUCCCUUUCUGUAAUGGGAAGGAAGUGAGUUUGCCACCUUCUGUGGAUCUCUGCCUCUGUUUGGAUUCUAUUCCCUAACUCCCUUUCUGUAAUGGGAAGGAAGUGAGUUUGCCACCUUCUGUGGAUCUCUGCCUCUGUUUGGAUUCUAUUCCCUAACUCCCUUUCUGUAAUGGGAAGGAAGUGAGUUUGCCACCUUCUGUGGAUCUCUGCCUGCCCUUGUCGCAUAUCUUUUUCCUCUGUUUCACCAGUGACCAAGCCAAGGAGCGAGCUGAAGACAUAGUAAAAUGACAUAAAGAUUAAAGGACAGAGGACCAGCAUGCCUUCUGUUUAUUGUUGAAUACAACAUAGUAAAUAAAACGGUAUGUCAGCAAUUAUUCUAUUACUUAGUUUAGUUAUCACUGGGGAACAAAAACAAAACCCAUAGACCAGUCUUUUCAGAAGGCCCUCAAUGAAAGCUACAAACUUCCUUUGAAAUUCAAAGAAAACUGAGUUCCUGAGUCCAAAGUACUAGUAAAACCCAAGACUUGAUGUUUCCAAUCUGCCUUUUUUUCCAAGGGAGAAGUGGGAUAGAACAAUGUUGCAACACUUAAUUCUUCACAGUUUCAACAAGCACUCAGAUGACUGGUGUAGCAGAAAGUUGCUUAGAAAGCAAAGCCUUAAAUUCAUUCUCUGCAGCAGACUUGUACACAUACUGUUUCCAACCUUUAGGGCUACAUUCAUCAUCCUUUUGACCAGAAAGAAGCCACCAAUUAUUGAACCAUUGCGUUAGAAUGGAAAUGGAGCAGAACUGGAGGAAGGAUUCUUGGAAGAAUUUUCACUUCAGGGGGUUAUUUCGGCAGAAACUACAUGAUGGUCUAGAAAACUGACAUUCCUCUUUCUUUUUUUUUAAUAGAAGUCAGAUUUAUUUGUAUUUUAUGAUGACUAGUGAUUUACAUCCCACCCACCCAUUUGAGAAUAGUCAGGGCUCCAGGCAUAUCUCCAGACGGUUCCAGACUAUUCAAAUCAUUGUUGGUCCAUCCAUUUACUAGUCACAACAAGGCCUUCUGUGACUAAUUAUGGCCUGACUGCAGCAGGAGAGGCAGCUUCAAAGAAUGGGAAUCUUCAGACGCACUAGCAGUUCCCUUCGUUCCCAAAUUCUUUAUUUAUGUGGAUUACAUUGAGUUGACAGAUUUAACUGGGCUGUUGAAGAUACGGUCAAAGAAGCAGAGUCACUCCCUUCCCUUUUAUUGUUUUCUGAAGACAGAACAGUCAUAUGCAUCUGUCAGUAAAGAGAGGAAGUUCUCCAUCACUGGACUUCAUUUGGGCUUUUAUAUGCUGUUUCAGUAGCAUCUGGGAAUAGAUCAAUAUAAUAUUUGGUAGGGAGUUGUAUUUUCUCAUGAUGCACUGUAAAUCUUUUAUUGUAGAUACUCUCACUGUUUAUUGUUGAAAAUCAAUAAAAAUAAACCUUGUAAAGUUAAA